GAUGAACGCUGGCGGCGUGCCUAAUACAUGCAAGUCGAGCGAACAGAUAAGGAGCUUGCUCCUUUGACGUUAGCGGCGGACGGGUGAGUAACACGUGGGUAACCUACCUAUAAGACUGGAAUAACUCCGGGAAACCGGGGCUAAUGCCGGAUAACAUUUAGAACCGCAUGGUUCUAAAGUGAAAGAUGGUUUUGCUAUCACUUAUAGAUGGACCCGCGCCGUAUUAGCUAGUUGGUAAGGUAACGGCUUACCAAGGCAACGAUACGUAGCCGACCUGAGAGGGUGAUCGCCCACACUGGAAGUGAGACACGGUCCAGACUCCUACGGGAGGCAGCAGUAGGGAAUCUUCCGCAAUGGGCGAAAGCCUGACGGAGCAACGCCGCGUGAGUGAUGAAGGUCUUCGGAUCGUAAAACUCUGUUAUUAGGGAAGAACAAAUGUGUAAGUAACUGUGCACGUCUUGACGGUACCUAAUCAGAAAGCCACGGCUAACUACGUG
rnacentral:rRNA from 1 species